rnacentral:pre_miRNA from 1 species
AAAAAGGCAAACCCUGGGUUUCCGUGCCAAUAUUUGACUGUCCAUCUUAUAUGAAAUUUUUUUGUAAUUAGUAUUUUCAUUGUUGUUAGAUGAUAAAACAAGAUUAAUACUUUAUGCGUGACUUAUCUUUUUAAUUUUUUUCAAAUAAGACGGACGGUCAAACGUUGGACACGGAAACCAGAGUUUGUCUUUUUU